GAAAUGCGAUACGCAAUGCGAAUUGCAGAAUUCCGCGAGUCAUCAGAUCUUUGAACGCAACUGGCGCUAGAGGGAUAUCCUUCUAGCAUGCUUGUUUCAGUGUCUAGAAAUCUCAUAUAUUUUAAUGUGAUUGAUUAUUCCUCACCGAAUAAUCUCUCAUGAAAUAUGAAAAUGUGGAUCUUUUGGUCCAAUGAAGUAGUCACAUUUUAUAUGUGAUUUCAUUGGUAAAACUAAAUUAUUCGUAUACAUUUUUUAAGACAAAUAUCUUCAAUAUGCAUCUGAAAUCAAGCAAGGUCACCUGCUGAACUUAA
rnacentral:misc_RNA from 1 species